rnacentral:lncRNA from 1 species
GCUGAGUUCUCGAACUGAAGGUGAUGGUUGAUUUUUGGAGGUUCACCAACUGGCCAGACGCCCUGCAAUAGACCUCCACAAUGGUCGCAAAGCACCUUAUGUUUGGAGGCAGGACCCGACCAAUGAGCAGGUAGUCAUCUACAAAAAGGUGUAACAAAGGUAGCCUCCCAGGGGCAGGCCAGUAGGGCUCAACCUAAGCCCAUUGGACCGUCCCUUGGAGAGAGCGAGAGAGGGCAUCAGCAUACAAAAUAAAUAGGUAGGGGGAGAGAGGGCACCCUUGGCAUAAGCUGCCAGU